rnacentral:rRNA from 1 species
AGUGAACGCUGGCGGUAGGCCUAACACAUGCAAGUCGAACGGCAGCACAGUAAGAGCUUGCUCUUACGGGUGGCGAGUGGCGGACGGGUGAGGAAUACAUCGGAAUCUACUUUUUCGUGGGGGAUAACGUAGGGAAACUUACGCUAAUACCGCAUACGACCUACGGGUGAAAGCAGGGGAUCUUCGGACCUUGCGCGAUUGAAUGAGCCGAUGUCGGAUUAGCUAGUUGGCGGGGUAAAGGCCCACCAAGGCGACGAUCCGUAGCUGGUCUGAGAGGAUGAUCAGCCACACUGGAACGGAGACACGGUCCAGACUCCUACGGGAGGCAGCAGUGGGGAAUAUUGGACAAUGGGCGCAAGCCUGAUCCAGCCAUACCGCGUGGGUGAAGAAGGCCUUCGGGUUGUAAAGCCCUUUUGUUGGGAAAGAAAAGCAGCAGAUUAAUACCCCGCUGUUCUGACGGUACCCAAAGAAUAAGCACCGGCUAACUUCGUG